GCUCCACCCCAAGGUGGCAUCUAGGCACUCCAAACAUUCACGAACCUACAUCUUAGUAGCUAGGAAAAAACAGAAGUAAGGGGAAAGAAGUUCAAGUCUCUGGUGGGGUUAAGACUUGGCUCCAACGGAGGCGGUGCUCAAGUCCAGUCACCUUGACUCCAGGAGCUGUCAGCCACAUCUGGUCAACCGGGAGAAAUUCAUCUCAGGUGGUUUGUCAGAGACACAGGAAGCAGACUCACACAGGAGGCCUGACUCCAGCCCUCAGAAAGCCUGAACCAAAAUCUGUUGUGCCCAUCAUGCGCAAUGGUCUAUUUCUGUUCAAGGAGCCUCUAGGCUUCCUGUAAAGCAGUGUCAUAUGUGGGGUUUUACUGCUGAGAACAGACACCAUGACCAAGGCAGCUCUUAU